CUCCACCUAAUCAGAACAACACACUAGUGCUAGACAGGUGUGCAGGAAUGAAGUGGAGCUACACAGUGCUUUUGAUUUCACACAAGUUGUGAGUCAUUGCGUGGUAUGUUGGUCUAUUUUGUGCAUAUUUCUAGCAGCACAGUGCUUGCAGAAAGUGUCAAAAUCAGGUCAAGACCAGUGAGAACUGGCUUUCCUCUAUCAAGGUUGCACUGAUUGAGAGUGAGGACUGAAGGGAACAGAAGCAGUACGCUGUCUGACUGUAAAUACAGGACACUAUGAACCCUGAUUUCUGAGAAUGGAAAAAACCCUAAACAGUCUGAAGGAGAGUUCAGUGCAUUCUGGCAGAUGAAAUGCA